rnacentral:rRNA from 1 species
GACGAACGCUGGCGGCGUGCUUAACACAUGCAAGUCGAACGGAAAGGCCCUGCUUGCAGGGUACUCGAGUGGCGAACGGGUGAGUAACACGUGGGUGAUCUGCCCUGCACUUCGGGAUAAGCCUGGGAAACUGGGUCUAAUACCGGAUAGGAGCCAUUUUUAGUGUGAUGGUUGGAAAGUUUUUUCGGUGUAGGAUGAGCUCGCGGCCUAUCGGCUUGUUGGUGGGGUAAUGGCCUACCAAGGCGGCGACGGGUAGCCGGCCUGAGAGGGUGGACGGCCACAGUGGGACUGGGAUACGGCCCAGACUCCUACGGGAGGCAGCAGUGGGGAAUAUUGCACAAUGGGCGCAAGCCUGAUGCAGCGACGCCGCGGGGGGGAUGACGGCCUUCGGGUUGUAAACUCCUUUCGCUAGGGACGAAGCUUUUUGUGACGGUACCUAGAUAAGAAGCACCGGCUAACUACGUG